rnacentral:piRNA from 1 species
UGGGAGAUGAUCAAGGAAAAAGAUGUGAGC